rnacentral:snoRNA from 1 species
UUAUGUUAUGAAGAUUGACAAAAUGUUCAACUGCUCUGAAUAGGCUGAGUGAAAAUAGCCUUUCUGAACAUCC